CUCUGGGGGGAUUUAAAGAGGAAGGGGGACGAUUCCUUCAGAGAGUCAGAUUCCUCCAGAAAUCUCACCAUGACCCCAACUCUUUUGAUCCUUGCUCUUUUCACUUAUUGCUCAGGUGUUACCACUCAGACAACUUUGACACAACCUGCCUCUGAGUCUGUGUCCCCGGGAGAAACGGCUAAACUCUCCUGCACUGCCAGUGAUACAUCAUACAACAUUGGCUGGUAUCAACAGAGACCUGGAGAAGGUCCUCGCUAUGUGCAUUACCCUGGGUACAGCAGGGGAGAAGGGAUCCCGGAUCGGUUCACUGCUUCCCAGUCAGGGAGCAUUGGCUAUUUAACCAUCGCUAAUGUCCAGGAUGGAGACGAGGCAGAUUAUUUCUGUGGUAGGUGGCAGAAAGGAGGUACCACGUUGCACAGUGCUAAAACCAGUUGCAGCAGCAGGGGAGAAGGGAUCCCAGAUCGGUUCACUGCUUCCCGCUCAGGUAGCAUUGGCUAUUUAACCAUCACCAAAGCAGAGGCUGAAGACGAGGCCGAUUAUUACUGUGGCAGGUGGAAUACAGCUGGUAAUGUGUUCCAUGGUGCUGGUGUCAUGUCAACCCUGCAAUGCACCGAACUGGAAGAGACAGGAAACCCUUUGCAGAAGAAGGUUCCUCCUCCCAGCCAGUGCUGA